GACGAACGCUGGCGGCGUGCUUAACACAUGCAAGUCGAACGAUGAAGCCGGAGCUUGCUCUGGUGAAUUAGUGGCGAACGGGUGAGUAACACGUGAGUAACCUGCCCUUGACUCUGGGAUAACUGCGGGAAACUGUAGCUAAUACCGGAUACGACCCUCGGAGGCAUCUCCUGGGGGUGGAAAGAAUUUCGGUCAAGGAUGGACUCGCGACCUAUCAGCUAGUUGGUGAGGUAAAGGCUCACCAAGGCGACGACGGGUAGCCGGCCUGAGAGGGUGACCGGCCACACUGGGACUGAGACACGGCCCAGACUCCGACGGGAGGGAGCAGUGGGGAAUAUUGCACAAUGGGCGCAAGCCUGAUGCAGCAACGCCGCGUGAGGGAUGACGGCCUUCGGGUUGUAAACCUCUUUUAGCAGGGAAGAAGCGAAAGUGACGGUACCUGCAGAAAAAGCACCGGCUAACUACGUGCCAGCAGCCGCAGUAA
rnacentral:rRNA from 1 species